CCUCAUCACGGUGCCCAGCUCCUUGACGCUGAUGUCCCCGCCGCCGUCCGCAUCGAACAUGUCGAAGGCGGCCUUGAACUCUGCCAGGGCGAGGAGGGCAGAGGGCCGCGGUGAGCCUGGCGAGACUGUCAGCCUCACAUCCACACACUCUCUCCCUGCCUGCCCAGACACCCCAGCUUUUCGGGGAUCAGCUGGAAUCAGCCGAGUGAGAAGGCUUUGUAAAGUGCCAGCACGAUUCCAGCAUGGUUUUCCAGUUUCCCCUACCUGCUCAUCACGCCUGGUACUUUAAUAGGUGCUCAAUAAAUGUUUGU